GUGAAGACCUGUUCGUGAACUCCAGAGGCCAUUGGAAGCAUGGAAGGCUAUGGCUGGCACUCUUCCUCUUUUUCCAGUUCACUGAGGCAGAUGGGAGGCCCGGAGGAGAAAGAAUGAAGGAAGGCAUUUCAGCCCGAGUAAACUCCCCAGGCCCGCUCUGUGCCAGGCAGUGUUGCAAGCCUCGGCUUCUAGCACGGUGCUUUGUGCACAGUAAACACUCCAGCGGCUGUUGACCAAUGAAUGAAUGAAGAUUGUAGGCUCAAAUAUUCAAGUUAUCAAAGUGCAAAGAAUGAGAGGUUGUUUGCACUGGACUUCAAAAAUAAAUAGCCUGGACCUGUACUGUCUUACACAACAGCUAUGAGCUACUGUCAAGCAGGGUCUCCAGGGCUACUCAGGGAGAGAGAGCCCAGAAACCUGGCA
rnacentral:lncRNA from 1 species